ensembl:lncRNA
CCAGGUGCUAAUAUAUGUAAGUAUGUGGGCACUGGUAGACUGAGUCUGUAACCAGUUUUUCUGACUCAGGUACCUGAUGCAAGGUGGAUAACAUGCAAUCUUGUUUGACUGUAACAAGAUUCACAGUCUUGUGAAUAGAUUUCCUGCUUCUAUUCACAUCACCUCAAAUUGUAGUAAACUGUAAAUGCUCCAGCUUUUGUAAAAACAAAACUUUGUGUGCACCAGGAUCCAGAGACCCCACAGAGACUGAGCCAGAUCUGUCUUUGAGUAUUUGAGUAUCUCCUGCAGAGGCAUACGUCAGCAGUGGCCUGCCACAGGGGCAGGGGUUCUGCGUGCAGCAGACCUGGGUCACACAGCGUGUGGCAUAAGCCCUCUUGGAGGAGGCCGCCAUUAACCCCACCUUAGAGCUGCUGAGCAGAUGACCCACAAACUGCAGAACAAUUAACCAAAUAAAUUCUCACACUGUUAAGAAAGUUGUACUCAGACAGUAAAGAGUUUGCCUGCCAAUGCAAGAGACACAGGUUCUAUCCCUGGGUCAGUAAGAUUCCCUGGAGAAGGAAAUAGCAACCCACUCCAGUAUUCUUCCCUGGAAAAUUCCAUAGGCAGAGGACCCUAGUGGGUUAUAUUCCAUGCUGGCAUAAAGAGUCGGAUUCUUCGGCCUUGGUGGGUGGGUGUGCGGGCUACCCCCUCACCAUUCCUGUUGUGGGGCCCACACCAGCAGCUCGCAGACUCCUGUUCCCUGUGCAGCCGACGUCUCCGCUGUCCCCACCCCCACCCUGCAGUCCCGCGGCCAACAGCGUCUCGUCAGCGUGACACUCAGCGGCCGCCAUCUUCCCCGCAGGCGUCACUGCAGGACGAUCCCUGUCUGGCACGUCUCUCCUGCCAUGUCUGCCACAGAGGAGCACGACUGGAUCCCGGGUGGCCCGGAUAGAGCUGGUGGCGGGGCGGGCCGCGACCCCAGUCUCCUUGGGGUCCAAGCAUCUGCUUCGGAGGGGAUGGAAGGAGUCGAGGAGGCCACGGCUCUUCUGGCCUCCUUGGAGGUCUCCAGUGCCCGUCCUGGGGAGCAGGGUUUGCCUCAGGCCGCAGUGGAAGAGGAGUGUGGUAGAGAGCCGUUAGAGGAGGAGGAGAUGGAGGAAGAUGUAGAGGAGAUGGAGGAGGACGAGGAAGAGGGGGAGAUUGAUUUCGAGGUGGAAGUCGUGGAGGAGGAGGCGCCUCUGUCUGGAGAGGGCGAGGAAGAGGAGGAUGAGAAUGAGCAGGAGGGUGCGGCAGCGGUUACAGGCCUUGGGUUCUCUAUGGAGACAUUUGGGCCCCUGUUCUGGAGUCAGGUUGACUCCAUUCUACGCAAUUUCCAUACCAACACACAUGUCCUGUUCCCGCCUCCCACUGACGGCCUGAUGGCCGGGGGCUGCUCCCCGCCACCCUCGGACCCUGGAGAAGGUCCAGUGCCUCCUCAGGAGCGGGAAGACCUGGGAGAGGGAGACAGAGGCUUGCAGGGCCUAGACUCUGCUGCUGAUUUUAAGUUGGGAUAUUUUUCCUGCCAACUUUUGACCCCAAUGUCUGCAUCAUUCUGCCCUAAUGAUGAGGGUGAGGAUCAGUAUGAAAUGGCUGAUGAAGAGGAAGAGGAUGAAAAUGAAAAACCUGAAGGACUCUAAAUGGAUGUGGUCUCAGCAAAGAGCAGCUCUGGAUAAUACAGUGGGAAGGCAUAGAAAGAAGCAGACAGCAAAGGAAAGAUGCAUUUGUUCUUCAUGGAUAUUCUUGUUUUCAUUAGCCUGAAAUACUAAUUUUGUUUCAAAGUUUCAACCCCUCAAAAUGAUACUAACUACUGACGUCUGACUUUACUCUUACCUUUUAACAGAUAAUUUGAUAGUAUUGUUCACAUUGGAAAUAAAAGCUUGUUU